rnacentral:misc_RNA from 1 species
CUGGCCUAUAAAAGAUAACUACAAAUAUUAAUAGCAUAAAUCAUUUAGAAUUAUAGCAUCAAUUUCUUUGAAAUCCAAAUAAAACUAAAGCUAAAGAUGUUAACAAGUCUUAAACCAUAAUCCUUCAUUCCUACUAAAUAGCAAUAACCACAAAAACACCCAUAAGGCAACUACUCAUUAUCAAGGGUAAAAUAGUAUUUUUUAUCAUGAAAGAACAGAACAUGCUGUAUGCUAUCAAUCUAGCCUCUUCAUUUUCCCUAAUUGCAGAUUCCUUACAGUCAAAUUAACAAUUUAGCAUCAAUUCAUGCAAGCUAUGUUAACGUGCAGCAAAUUCUUCUUAAAAAAUUAAGCAAAAAAGAAACAUAAGCAUUCAAGAAAAGAAAAAUCCAAAAGCCCAAAUCAGCGCUCCCACUGGACUGGACCCUCAUGUUUCAAUUUAGCACUGUUAGGCCCUUACAAAAUUUGAGAUUAGGCAAUUGAGCCCACUUCCUCCAACUUAGAGCAUGUUAAACAGAUAGACGUCAGUCUAGUAUAAUUUAUAUUGCUUUAAGGCUAAAACCUGUGCUAAGGUGCCAAAAAAAAAAAAAG